UAUAAUAGGGAUAUAGCUAGUUAAGAUCACUAUGAAUUCUUGAGUGGUUUAAAUCAUAAACCAGUCACUUAACUAGUUGUGUGGCCUUAGGUAUAAAUUACCUAGCAUCUCUGUGCUUCAGUUUCCUCAUUUAUAUAAUAAAACAGUGUUAUUGUGAGGAUUCAGUAAGUUAAUGAAAGAUGUUAGGACCGUGUCUGGCACAAUGUAAUCUAUACAUAAGUGAAAGGUGCCAUUAUUCUUACAUGUUUUAUCUUUUCUAAUAAUAGAGGAAACACAUCAUUGUAGCUAAGUACAGAUUUCCUUUUCAAACAUUUUUCGGGAAAGGAGACAAUACAUUCUCUCUUGGAAAUCAGCUGGCCAAUCUAAAGACACUUUCAAUUUACCAUUAUUUCAAUUCAAAGUUUAUCCACAUUUUUAUUUGUUUCUUUUUGCGACGGGGCCUUACUAUGCAGCUUUAACUGGGAUGGAACUCAGAGAUCUUACCUGCCUCUGCCUCCUGAGGGCUGGGAUUAAAGGCUUGUACCACUCUGCCUGAGAGCUCAGUACCUAAGAAUCCUAUUGAGACCUUUUUUUCUUUUUAGUUACAUGAGCUACAGACAGUGAUAGAAUUGCCCCAGUGCAGCCUACCGUAUCCUAGUAACCUCCAUCCUUAGCAUCCUUAGAAACCUCUAAUUUUCUCUUACUCUGUGUCACGUUUCUGUACAACAUGUUCCAGACAUUUUCUAUUAACAGAUGAGCAUCUAACCUCUUACAUCUAAUUAGAAUUGAGACUGACUGAAAUUUUAUUCUUGUUUUUCCAUACUUAGAAACCUUAUUCUUCCUUCCAUUAUACUUUUUUUUUUUUUUUGGUUAUUUUAUUUGUUUACAUUACAAAUGGUAACCCCCUUUCCCGUUUCCCCUCUGCAAGCCCCCUAUCCCACCCCCCUCUCUUUCUAUUAUACUUGCAUCUGAGGCAGAAGGAUCCUUCUUGGUUUUAUACUGCCCUCUAUCUUCAGAGUGGCUUUGUGUACUUUAUUUUCUAUUCUGGUGUAUUCCCUAUUACUUAGGCAUAAGCUCUUGUAUUUGAUUUUAAAACAGUCUCAUGUUGGCUUCCUUCCAUCUUCCUGUCUCUAUUUCCCAGGUGCUAGGAUUAAAAGGAUGUACCACCAUGCUGGAAUUAGAAAUACUUCUCUCUAUCACCUUUAAAGGGAAGUGAAGCUGUAUCAAUCACAUGAAUUCCUGUAAAUUACUUCUGUUUCUUUAAACUCCUCUUUGUACCUCUUGUUUCUUCCUCUUCUCUCCUUUCUCCUUCCCCUAGGUCUACACCUGUGUCCCACCAGGAAAUCAAAGACAUUUUUCCCUGCUAGUGUAUUUAUUCAUUAGUAGUGCAAGUCUGAACUUUUGACUUUUCACUGUCUUUGCCACUCCAUACAAAUAAUGAGCCAGCAUUGUCUUCUGGGUCCUUAAUUUCUAUAUGGUAUUUCACACUAAGCCCAGCCACCUGCUUCUAUAAAUAAUCUUUUGUCUAGGUUGCUCUGUCAGCACCCCCACAUUGUGAAUUUAGGCACUCUCCAAAGUUGUAUUUCUCUGUCUAAUCAGAUGUCAGGGCUCAUGGCUGUAAUUCCAGCAGUUUGUAGCUUGAAGAAAGAGGAUUGGUGUAGGUUUGAGCUCCAGUUUAGCCUACAUAGUGAGUUCCAGGCCAGGGUGAGGAACAGAAUAUAAGGCACUGUC
rnacentral:lncRNA from 1 species